GGCCGCAGGAGCGGCCGAUCUAUUUGUGAUUGUGUUAGAAAGUGCGCAUGGGGAAAUGAGACGUUAUUUUUCCUGUUUCAAUAGAAUUAUAUUUUAUUAAUUACAGUCAUAGAAGUCAUGAAUAAGAUAUUUUAAAAUUGUUCUAUAUUGAGUCUUACUUGAUUUUUAAAAACCUAUCUUAUUUUUUUCUUAACGUUCAUAAGAUGUUAAUUAAUGAUUCUAUUGAAGUUUUUUAUUACAAUAAAUGCUCCCCAGGUGAGGAGUGUGCAAGAUAUAAAAGCAACUCGUUAUGAAUAUGAGUUUCCGGAUAGUAAUUCAGUAAAAUAAGACAAAAGUUAGUAAAAAAAAAGAUAUGUUCUGUUUAAAUUCACGUUUUGUGCAUCAUUAUCCUGUGUUUUGAAAAAACAACCCUAAUAUUGCAUUUCGCAUUUCGGGGCAAGUUACAGCAUUUUCUGCAAAAAACAUCUCGUCACGUGACAUAGAUCCAGGGUAUUAGCACGUGCAGAUUCUGCGUCCUUUUUCAAUUGACAGCCGAUGGAAACGCAUCGUCAAAAAUGGUAAGAGGUGUAUUAGCAAAUACUCAUCAAGGUUGUCAAAUAUUUGCACCAUUUAAUGGAGUACAAUGUACGGCAGUAGCACUCAUUGCUUUGCUAAUAUUUAUGACCUGCUUCAGAAGUCCCCGGUUUGACUUCACGUCAGAUUUCAGUAGUGUUCAGUUAGAUCAGAUGUUGCACGAUGGCACUAAACUUUAUGCCACUAUUUUUCAAGAAUUUCAAUCAUUACAAUAUUUAGGCCACAAUCAAAUGCCAAAAGUGUUGAAUUACCAAGAUAACGACUUUACUUUGGAAUAUUUUCUUGACUAUUAUUAUGGAAUCGUAGAUACAGGGACUGUCACUGUUUCACAAAAUGACGAAUUUGGACAAAUGAAUUUGUAUGAUGCAUUAUCACAAGCAAUGCUUAUAUCUUCAAAUUUCUUGUUGACUCUAAAUGAUCUUACUAUUGCUUUGCAUGCAGAUAUAAGUAACAAUCGGUUCUUGGUAUUUGAUUCACAUCAGAGGAAUCAAUUUGGAUUUCAAGAUGCAGAUAAUGGUGCGGCGGUGUUGUUGAGUUUUGAAUCUUUUGAAGAAUUGCACCAUUACAUUUGUGCUAGCUAUUCAUCAUUUAAUUAUGAACUCACUCCAGUCACAAGAGUAGAAAUAAGCAACCAGGUAAAUAACAGUACAAAUGUUGACCCCAAUCAACGUGAUGGACAACAUAAAUGUGUCUCUAAUGAUCAUUCAUAUGUCUCAAAUUCUAACUGCAAAAAGAGGGCUCGACAAAAGAGAAAACGAUGUUAUGUUGAAAAUAGAAAUGCCUCUGAAACCAUUGAAUCUGAUGUAAACAGACCAGUUGAUUAUAUGGUUUAUGAAAUAGAUAUGUUAGAUGUUUGUGAACAAUGUAAUGUGUCAACAGACAGUAGCGUUGAAUAUGUAGACUAUUUGGAACUGCCUUUUCAUGUACAUGAGUAUGAAAAAAGCAUAAGAGAGUCCCCUGAUAAGUGUUGUUCAUGUUGUUUUAGAAUUCUAUUUAAAGAUCAAACUUUUUUAAUGUCCGAGGUCAAUGAUGCAUGUAAAAGUAUUGAUUUGAAUGUAAGCAGUGAUUUAUGUAGCACAUGUAAAACUACGUUGAAACAAAAUAAAAUACCAAGCAUUAGUCUAAAAGGAAAUAAUUUAGACACAGGUUUAGUCCCCAGAGAGCUAGAAGGUUUAACUCUUCUUGAAAAGAAAAUGCUUAGUAAAAUAAAUGUAUUUAUGACAUUAAUUUUUCUUCCUGGGGGACAGUAUGCUCAGAAAGGAUUGGUUUUAAAUCUUCCAGUGAAUAUUGAAAACAUAAUUGAACAAUUUCCACAGAAUUUGGAACAGUGUCCUCUUAUAGAACUUAAGUUUGAGAAUAGUAAUGGAUCUCUAUAUGUCGGUAAUCACCAUAAAAUAAGAAGCAAAAAGUAUGCAGAAGCAAUGCAUUGGUUAAUCAAAAAUAAUUGUUGUUACACUGAUCUGAGCUUCAAUGUAAGUGAUCUUGUUAAUUAUUUAAACAAGUUGAAUGAAAAUUUCAGUACAUACAAUAAGGAAGAAGAAGAAUUAGAAGAAGCUGUAAUGAUUCCAGUGGAUAAUAGUUGCAAUAUUUCAAAAAAUGCAUAUAUUCAUGUUCAAAGAAGUAAGUCUGAACCUGUAAAUAUCUUGUUAACAGAACAUGGAGAAGAAUUAGCAUUUCCUUGGCUAUUCGUAAAUGGAAAAAAUGGUUUUUGUGCAGAGCGCCCCCUAAAAAUAAAUCCAUCGAUGUAUUUCAAAGUGAGGCUUUACAAUGAAAAAGGACAUUUCAGAAAAAACAUGACAUAUUUAUUGCAUACUGCUGCAUCUUAUAAUAUGUCUUUAUUAAAACAAGAGUUGGGAAUUCACAUGAAAAUUUUGAAGACUGUACAUUCGGGAGACCAAUCUUUUGUUACAGCUGGUGAUGUUAAAAAUAUGAAUGAAAAUUCAGAUUUACUUGAAAAUUCUUACAUGUUCAUGAAGAACAUUAAAGGUACCGUUGCUUACUUUAGAAAUGUUUUGUAUGAUCUUUUGGCAAUAUUUAAAAGCUUGGGCCCUCCUACACUCUUUGUCACAUUGUCAGCUGAUGAUUUACAUUGGCCAGAAUUGGGAAUGACACUUCAGAAUAUAAAUUUUAAAGAUGCUUUUGGAAAAUCUUUUUUUCAGUCAAUGAGGAAAGAUCCUUUACUUGCUGCUACACAUUUUGAUAGAAGAUUUAGAGCAUUGCUAAAACAUGUUAUUUUAGGAAAAACUAAACCUCUAGGAACAGUGUUGGAUUACUUUGCACGCAUCGAGUUUCAAAAUAGGGGGAGUCCUCAUGUUCACAUGUUUUUAUGGAUUGAUGGGUUACCUGCUGAACUUAAUCAUAAUACAUCAAAUGUUCCAGAUGUUGAACAAGAUUAUGAACUAAAUUUACUUGUAAAGAAAUUGCAAACACAUCAUCAUUCAUCAUAUUGUAGUCGUGGAUACAGAUUAAAUUGUAGGUUUGGAUUUCCUAGAAAAAUUGUUUCUACUACUAGAAUUUUACCAAAUAUUGAUUUACUUAGCAAAUCAAAAGCCAAAUUUUAUGAAACAAAGCGAAAUCAAGAAAGCACUUUCAUUAAUGAUUACAAUACAGUUCUUUUACGCCAUUGGAGAGCUAACAUGGAUAUUCAGUUAAUUAAAAAUGCUGAAGGGGCAGCAUAUUAUGUUUGUUCCUAUUUAUGCAAGUCAGAACCAGAUGAUUUAAGAAAUGCACUAGGAAACCUUAUCUAUUCAAUUUUUAGACAAAAUCCAAAUUUAUCUAAGUAUCAAAAAUUAUUGCAGAUUGGUCUCUGUGUUUUAAAACAUAGAAGAAUGAGUGCACAAGAAGCAGCUUACCGUCUUGGAAAUUUACAUUUAAUUCAUAGUACAAGGAAAGCUGUGUAUAUAAAUACACGUUUUCCAAGGAAGCGAUUCAAAAUGUUAAAACCAAAAAAAUUUAUUGAGGAAAUGAAUGAUAAUUGUACAGAUAUAUUCUAUACAAAUUUAAUGGAUUACUAUCAUGAACGACCACAUGAAUUGGAAAGUUUUUCAUUUUAUAGAUUUGCUUCUUGGUAUGAAAAAUGUACUCCACCAAAAGGUUCUUUACAUAGAAAAGCUUGUGAAAGAGUUUAUAUUGACAAACAUGGUGUUUGGUUAAAAAAGCGUACAAAACCUGUUGUAUUGAGGUAUCCAAAUUUUGCAUUAUUCAGUGAAGAUUACUUCUAUAGUUUUAUUCUUCUUUUAUUACCACAUAGGAAUGAGGAGGAAUUACUUUCAGGACAUGAUUCUGCAAAAGCAGCUUUUUUUGCAAAACGACAUGUAUUUGACACUAGCUUCAAUUUUCAGUACCUAUCAUUGACUGAACAAAUAUCAAAUAUUGUGAGAAGAAUACAUUUAUGUGAAAGCGAGUCAAAUUUCAAUGCAAGAAUUUACUUUAAUUCUGUUGACAAUAGUUCUCUUGAACAGGAAUCUGAUAUAAUAGUAGAUAUACCAUCAAAUUUUCAACAAAGUUCAUCACAUGCUUUUGCUAUUCCUGUUUUUAAUGAAGAUGUGACAUUUAAUCACUCUUUAACUUGUAGAAUGUCUGUUGAGGAUUACAAAACAAAUUUAAGAAAACUAACAAAGAGCCAAAAACAAGCACUUCACAUUGUACAUUGUCAUUAUCAAAAGUCAGCAAAGGAACCUUUGCAUUUAUUUAUAACAGGUGGUGCAGGAGUUGGAAAGUCCUUUAUUACUAAUAUAAUUAUUGCAUAUUUGGAAAUGUACACCAGUAAGAUACCAGGAUCAAAUCCAGUUGUCGUUUGUGCUCCAACAGGUACAGCAGCUAGAUCUAUUCAAGGGCUAACUUUACAUUCACUGUUGAGUAUUCCAGUUCAAAAUUACACUUCUUAUGAAGAACUUUCAAGUUUUAUGCUCAGUAAACUGCAGCGAGAAUUUUUGAAUAUUCAUACUAUUGUGAUAGACGAAAUAAGUAUGGUCAGUGAUAUGAUGUUAACCUAUAUUAGUCGAAGGUUAUCACAAAUCAAAAGGAAUAAUGCUGUUUUUGGUGGAUUAAAUGUAAUUGUAGUUGGAGAUUUUUUUCAGCUGAAACCUAUAAAAGGAAAAUAUGCAUUUCAUAAUAAACUCAUAUGGCAUCUGUUUUCACCAGUGUUUUUAACAGAAAAUGUUCGUCAAAUUGAAGAUCCUUCUUAUGCACAAUUGCUUAACAGAGCACGUGUUGGUCUACUAACAUCACAUGAUGUAAAGUUGCUUUUGACUAGAGUUAAUGUUAGAGAUACUGACUGUUUACAUAUUUUUCCAUUACGAAGAAAUGUUGCAGAAUAUAACAGUUUAAUGUUGACUGGUAUGGAUGAACAUACAUAUUCUUUAAUAGCAGAACAUUAUUUUAGUACAGCAGAUAUCAACCCAGGUGAAAAUGUACCAAGUUAUUUAAUACCUACUGAUGAGCGUGAUGCUGGUGGACUUUUGCAAACAUUACAAAUUUCUGUAAAUAGCAGAAUAAUGUUAAUCAGAAACAUGAAUACAAAGGAUGGACUAGUUAAUGGUGCCAUGGGUACUGUCUCUUCUUUUACUUGGAUUGGAGAGGAAAUAACAAAUCAAUGUUUUGUUUGAUGAUAGAAAUAUUGGUCGUUUACAUCAGUCAUCAUUUAACAAUAGUAGUUCUAUAAGUAUAGAAAGAUUUGAGCAUCAUUUUACAGUUUGUGGCAGACAUAUUGUUAGAAAACAGUUUCCCCUAAUUCCAGCAUGGGCCUGCACUAUUCAUAAAGUUCAAGGUUUAUCUUUUUCUAAACUUGCUUUGGAUAUAGGCAGUAAUAUUUUUGAAAAAGGAAUGGCAUAUGUCGCAUUAAGUCGAUUACGUACAUUAGAUGGACUUAUCUUACUUAAGUUUGAUCCAAAAGUUGUGGUACCUCCAGAUGAUGUUUUAGAGGAAUAUGAAAGAUUAAGAAAAUUUUUGUUUUUUUAGUAUUUUCUUCAAAGUAAGAUAUUGCAAUGUAUUAGAGAGUGAAAAUGGUGCAAAAUAUUUGACAAUCUACAUUAUCUUCUUGUGACAAAAACUUUCAUGUUUAUUAUCAAAUUAUUUCAGUUGUACAAUGUUCUUUAAGAUAAGUAGUGAUUGAUGAAAGAUAUCUAUAUAUAUCUUCAUGAUUAAAAACUUCUUCAAUACCUGUAAUACAUUAAUUUAUUCACUUGUGGUUAGAGACCUUUAGCACAAAAUAUGAACUGUUUAUUCGCAUGGAUAUAGAAAUCUGAACUGUACCUUUCAAUUAAAUAUCACAGAUGCCUAAGAGAAUUUAACAUUAUAUAUUACAUAUUACAAAGAGUGCAAUAUGCUUUGUAUCAUUCAAUUCAGUAUUCAAAAUAAGUGCUAAAAUUGGUCCUCACUGUAUUAUACUGUGGUUAAUAUUUCAGAUUGUUCAUUCAUUAUGAUAGUAUAACCAAAAUACUUCUGAAUUUGUGUGCAACUUUAGUGUACUUUCAUGAGAACUUCAAAAGAUUUAUACAGAGAUAAUAUUUCAUGUUUUACCAGGGUGAUGACAAAGUUAGUUUAAGUUUCAAAAUCAUCAAAAAAUCAAGUGCUUUGCAGUCUUACAAGAAAGGAGACUCCUUGGUGACAUAUUUCAAUUUGGUAGCAGCCAACAAAGAUGGUACUUAUAUUGUUCGAGUAUAUCUGAAGCACAAAUAUAAUUUCAUCAAAGAAGGAAUGUCAUACAGAUUCACAGAUAUGAUUAAGAAAGGAGACACAUUCUGGGCUGUCAGUACCACCACUAUUGGUUGUAUUGCUCCUCUGAAAAAUGUCACCACAUUGGACAUGGAACUCCCUGAAAAUGAGAAGCCUGAAGGAGCAUCUAGGUGUCUGAAGGAUGCACUACAUUGUCCUCACAAAUCCACAGUUAAAGGGAAGGUUGUACAGAUCUCUCCACUUAAACGAAGGAGAAAUGGUACCCUCGUCGUAAGGAGUAUCUCCCUAAAAGACACUUCUGGUGUUGCAAAGAUAUGCCUUUUCGAAUCUACAGCAGAAAUGCAGUUCGAAAGGGAUCAAAUAUUGCAAGUCACUUCCGUAUAUCCGAAGAUUUUUCAAGGUGCACAGCAACUGACAGGAUCAGUCAGCACAAAAUGCCAGUUUGUCCAGGAUGACAAUUUCAAAGAUUUACCUGUUACAGAGAAAGAUUUUCUUGAGGAUCAUGAUUUUGACAUAGAAGAGGAUCUUGCGGAUGGGGAACCUUUUCAGAUAAAUAUGAUUUCUGAUGCUUACAGAUAUUUGUGCUGUUCAAGUGAAGGUUGUCGCAAAAAAAAAAUACUUGACAACAAAUGCCCUAUUUGUAGCAAGGAGUCCAACAACACAUACGGAUGCAGAAUUACUGUAGAAGCAGAAAACUGCAAUACAAAUGUGUGCACUACAGCAUCCCUAUUCAAUGAUGAUGUAUGCUCUUUGUUCUCAAUUGAUCAGCAUACUCUUGCCAGUUCUGAUGACUUGCUGUACAAUUUGUCUCUGAAACUCCCGGUUCAUUUUACAGCUAAAAGGGUAAACAACAAGUUCUAUAACAUGAAAAAAAUGUAAAUCUUAUCAUGUGACCAUCUUUUUGCCGUGAUAGUUUGCUGUUUGGUAAUUUUAUGUUUUUGUAUGAUAUGUAGAUUUUACAAGGAGUUUUGUCUACUUUACAAUAUUUUAUAUUUCUCGCACUUAGAGAGAGUUUCAAAGCUUAUUUCAAUGAUUUAUGUACAUUUGCAUUCUUCAGGCAGCGUGAAUACACAUUUACAGUUGUGGCAUUAUUACCUAUAUGUUUAAUAAGUACAUUUUACAAGGAGUUUAGUCCACUUUAUCAUAUUUCAUGAAAUUGCAUGUUUUACACAAUUGUAGAUGUUCAAUGCCUUUGUUUUGUCAUGUAUCAUGUCAAUGACUGCAUAAUGUUUUCUAAGGCACAGAAUAAUUUUUUUUUCUCUUUUCUAUGUUUGCACGUUUAUUGAUCAUUACGCAAUUUCUUAUCAUCUGAAAUGUUAAUAUGUGCGUUAAAAAAAAUUUCGUCUGGGAAAGUCUUUAAUAUAAUGCAUUUAAAUCUUCUAGCAUUCCAUUAGUGUAUCAACAUGUUGAACUUUUAUAAAAUCCACAACAGUGUUAUGAUAUUAACAGUGUUAAAUAUUUUUUUAAUAACAUGUUUAUAUAAGUUCUGUUAUGAAUAUUCUGGUAUAAUUUUCCAGUUUUGAAUUAAUGACAAUACUUUAUACAACAAAAUUCAUAUAAGUUAUGAAAUAGUAAUACAUGUACACUUAUAUUGCAUGCUUGAAAAUAAUGCCAUAAAAACAUGUUUGUUGACUAUUUACAAGUAUACGAUUUUAAAUCCCUUUUAAGGAAGGCGUAAGAUGUGUACAUUCCACAUGCAAAUGUUCAAGUUUUAAAAUUCAUAUGUUUUAAUUGUCAAAAAUCAUUGACAUAUUCAUAAUUAUAAAUUUUGGGUAUAUACAUUGUACAAUAUUUCUUUGUUCUUUCUCAUCCUCAAACAAAUAUUUUGAUGAUGAAACAUUCCUAUUAUUUCAGUUUAAUUUUCAUAUACAUGAAUGAAGAUGACUCCACCCUCAAUUUAUAUGUCCAAAUUAGUGAUGCAGUAAUCACGCAAAAUGCAUAUUUUUCCAUCUUUUUUAACAGGGUAAAACAUAAAUAAACAGAAGUAUAUGUCAAAAUCACAUUUUCUUAGUAAACUGCAUGAUUAAAAAAGCUAACGUCCAAAUGACUUAACAUUUUUAAAAAUAUUGUGUUUAUACAUUAUUUGCAUUCAUUUUGGGGAGUGUAACGAAGAGUUAUUGCCCUUUCAUUUUGUGUAAUGAAUAAUUUAAUGUACAAAAUAUUAUCCCUUCAGCAUGUCAACAACGCAAAACCUUUGCAUCACAUAUCUUUUUCUUUCUUUUGAAAGUAUAGUACCACUUCUUUUCUUUUUGCAAUUUUUUAUACUGAUUUUGAAAAAAACAAUAAACUUCUGCAGAAA